rnacentral:rRNA from 1 species
CCUACGGGAGGCAGCAGUGGGGAAUUUUCCACAAUGGGCGAAAGCCUGACGGAGUGACGCCGCGUGUGGGACGAAGGCCUUCGGGUCGUAAACCACUGUCAGUGGGAAAGAUGGGUGUCGGCGCUAAUACCGCCGGCAUCUGACGGUACCUGCAGAGGAAGCCCCGGCCAACUCUGUGCCAGCAGCCGCGGUAAGACAGAGGGGGCAAGCGUUGCUCGGAAUUACUGGGCGUAAAGGGCGCGUAGGCGGGAUGGCAAGUCGGUCGUGAAAUCCCUCGGCUCAACCGAGGAAAGUCGAUCGAUACUGCUGUUCUUGAGGAUUGCAGAGGAGACUGGAAUUCCCGGUGUAGCGGUGAAAUGUGUAGAGAUCGGGAGGAACACCGGUGGCGAAGGCGGGUCUCUGGGCAAUUCCUGACGCUGAGGCGCGAAAGCGUGGGGAGCAAACGGGAUUAGAUACCCCGGUAGUCCACGCUGUAAACGAUGAGCACUAGGUGUGGGGGGGUUCAGUCCCUUCCGUGCCGCAGCUAACGCAUUAAGUGCUCCGCCUGGGGAGUACGGCCGCAAGGUUGAAACUCAAAGGAAUUGACGG